rnacentral:rRNA from 1 species
UACGUAGGGAGCAAGCGUUGUUCGGAUUUACUGGGCGUAAAGGGCGCGUAGGCGGCGCGGUAAGUCACUUGUGAAAUCUCUGAGCUUAACUCAGAACGGCCAAGUGAUACUGCAGUGCUAGAGUGCAGAAGGGGCAAUCGGAAUUCUUGGUGUAGCGGUGAAAUGCGUAGAUAUCUGGAGGAACACCGGUGGCGAAGGCGGCAUCCUGGACCAACACUGACGCUGAGUGAGCGAAAGCCAGGGGAGCAAACGGG